GUUUCAGGAAGGGCUCACUCUGUGGGAAGCCAGCCACCAUAACAGAAGUAUGUUAAACACUGGGAAAGGACCACAAGGAGAAAAACUGAGGCCUCCUGCAAACAUAUGAUGCCCUGCUGUGAAGGAGUCACUGAACCAACUUGUUAUCUGCCAGUAACAGCGAGUUUCGGGAAGGCCUUCAGCUAUGAAGAGACUCUUUCUGUAUUUUUUAACAAGACAUAGACUGAGGAUACAAGAAAUCCACCCC